GUACACGCUGUGACUAGCAUAUCAAUAAGCGGAGGAAAAGAAACUAACAAGGAUUCCCCUAGUAACGGCGAGUGAAGCGGGAAGAGCCUCAAAUUUGAAAUCUUAAAGGGUUUCCCUUUACGAAUUGUAGUUUAAAGAAGUGUUUUCUGUUGAGGUUUUGGUAAAAGUUCUUUGGAAUAGGACAUCAUAGAGGGUGAGAAUCCCGUAUUUGACCUUUACUUUCAACUUUGUGAUACACUUUCAAAGAGUCGGAUUGUUUGGGAAUGCAGUCCAAAAUGGGUGGUAAACUUUCAUCUAAAGCUAAAUAUUGGCGAGAGACCGAUAGCGAACAAGUACCGUGAGGGAAAGAUGAAAAGAACUUUGAAAAGAGAGUUAAACAGUACGUGAAAUUGUCAAAAGGGAAGCGUUUGACACCAGUGUUGUUUUUCUGAAAAUCAAUUAAAGAACUGUUUAUGCUAAGCUGUUUAGACUUUAUCAGCUAAUCUGUUUAGUUUUGAGCUUUUCUUUAAUGCACUUUUCAGUUAACAAGUCAACAUCAAUUUCUUUUGCUGUAAAAAAGCUUGAGGAAGGUGGCUUGAGAUUCGUCUUAAGUGUUUAUAGCCUCUUGCCUAUGCAGUCGGAGAGAUUGAGGUCUGCAGCGUAGAUCCUUCGGGGCUAAAUGCAUUUGUGCUAAGUUAUAGCAUUUUAUAGACAACUUGUUGACUAUGAUUUGUCUUGUAGCUUACUCGCUUAUGUUAUUUUACCUACGCUUAGGAUGUUGACGCGCGUGUGUGCGUG
rnacentral:rRNA from 1 species